UCUGGACCGGAGUAGCCUGUGCCCUAGUUAUUUUCCCCUUGCCACGGCUACUGCCGCCGCAGAUCAGCAGGCACACUCCAGCAACGUUGGUGUUCUCUCGUGCCCUAAAUCCUCAGUUCUCUAUUCCAGUGAGUUACUGGAUGAAGGCACCUAGUUGGUUCCGGAUAUCACAGCAUUAAUAGUUGUUGCUGACCCUGCUUAAUUCCGACCAGCAGCACCCCAUUGUUCCAGAAAUCAAUAAGGCUGAGAAAUAAGGACUUUGACGCGAGACGAGUAUCUCGGAGUCAGACUUGGACCUUUUC